GGGUUCGAUUCCGGAGAGGGAGCCUGAGAAACGGCUACCACAUCCAAGGAAGGCAGCAGGCGCGCAAAUUACCCAAUCCCGACACGGGGAGGUAGUGACAAUAAAUAACAACACAGGGCUCUUUUGGGUCUUGUUAUUGGAAUGAGUACGAUUUAAAUCUCCUAACGAGGAACAAUUGGAGGGCAAGUCUGGUGCCAGCAGCCGCGGUAAUUCCAGCUCCAAUAGCGUAUAUUAAAGUUGUUGCAGUUAAAAAGCUCGUAGUUGAAUUUCAGGCCUGGCUGGACGGUCCGCCCUUCGGGUGAGUACUGUCUGUGGUCGGGUCCUACCUUCUGGCGAAGCGUCAUGGCCUUAACCGGCCGUGGCGGGGAACCAGGACUAUUACUGUGAAAAAAUUAGAGUGUUCAAAGCAGGCAAUCGCUUGGAUACAUUAGCAUGGAAUAAUGGAAUAGGACAAUGGUUCUAUUUGUUGGUUUCUAGGACCGUUGUAAUGAUUAAUAGGGAUAGUUGGGGGCAUUAGUAUUCAAUUGUCAGAGGUGAAAUUCUUGGAUUUAUUGAAGACUAACUACUGCGAAAGNAUUUGCCAAGGAUGUUUUCAUUAAUCAAG
rnacentral:rRNA from 1 species